CGCCUGCCCCCACUAGUGUGUGUCUUAAAACUCCCAAGCUCCCUCCGUGGGGUGAACCUGCGGGCGGCCUGGGGAGGCCUGGAGCCUGCCGACAUGGGCCUGUCCUUGGCACACCUGGCUCAUGAAGGUGGCAGCUGACCGGGAGGCUACCUGAUAUGGCGGGAGACACAUGGUUUCAUCUAAGAAAGGACGGAGAUGGCGUGCAGAAAGCACCAGGGUUUGAGCACCGGCAGGCAGCUGGGGAUGCUCCUUCCCAGAGACCAGAACCUUCUGGGCAGACAGCCAGCCAGCAAAGGCCAGCAGCAUGGUAACGAGGCCGGCGCCGUGGGAACAGGGGGGCGGACAAUGACGGAUUGACAGCGAGUGCGGACGGCCCACCUUUGGGAGAAACCGUACCCCACAGCAUGCGGGGAAAGUGAGAAAUAGUAGCAGAUGCUGCGGGCCUACCAGCAACAGAUGCCUUCUGGCUGCGGCUCCGCCAGCCAACCAGCUCCUGCCGGCCGCCGAGCAGGAGCAUUUCCUCCCCGCCCCCGCCUUUGUCGGAGGGAGGCGGCAAAUACAGAUAUUGCAGAGGAAUUAAAAACAGCAGAUGGUGGCGGCAGGAUUUGAUGAGAUCGGGGUCAGGUAGAGGCAUACAUUUCGUGGCGGCAUUAAUCAUACGUUCCUUCGGGGAAUUGCGAGCUCAGGCCUCUGCGCGGGGCGUGCUGCCCACCUUGGGGCCCCUCCCUGUCAGCAGGCUGACCCUCCGUCCACCUUCAGAUGUUGCGUCAGAUUUAGCAGAGUUUAAAGAGAAC